UUUGAGCUUGACUCAAGAAUGGUAGGUCUGAAUUUCAGCUGAAGAUUGGAAGCUAACCACAAAACUACCCAUUACUUCCUCCAUCACUUCACAGAAACAUGGUAAUUUGUUUCUUCUCAAUACGUCUCCUUCAGAACGUCUAACAAAAUGUCUCUAAUGCCACUGAUGAUAAGGUCACUAGUGAAUCUAAUGAAGGCAAUAUUGUUUGAACCGGCAGCCACCGUGACAACUAUACUGUAUUACAGCGAUCUCCUACCUCGCGACAUCAACUUAGAGAGAUUAGUGCGACGGGAAUUCCUCCAUCCAGACAACCAUCUCUUCCAUUUUCUCGUUAACAUCUUGAGAUGCUUCUGAGAUGGAGCAGAUGGUCGGUCUUCUUCUUCUUCCGAUUUUGUCUUUACAGAGUAUGCAGAUAGGUAUGAGAAAUUGGAGAGCAUACACUGAUGAAUAAAUAGUGUAUUUUUUUUUAACUUCAUGUGGGUGUGCUUCAAAUUCAAUGAUAUUACUGGGGUGGUCACACAGGAAUCUUGAUCAAUACAGAUGCUUGGAUGAUUUUGUAUUUGUUCCUUCCACUUCUCUGUUCUUUGGGGUGUAAUAAUCCAUGGUUUUCAUGGUAGCUUGAACAGAAUAUAUUGUUUCUUUUAAGGAAUGGAGUCCAAAUUCAGAUUGAAA